rnacentral:rRNA from 1 species
AACGCGAAGAACCUUACCAAGUCUUGACAUCCCCCUGACCGGAACUUAACCGUUCCUUUCCUUCGGGACAGGGGAGACAGGUGGUGCAUGGUUGUCGUCAGCUCGUGUCGUGAGAUGUUGGGUUAAGUCCCGCAACGAGCGCAACCCUUAUCCUUAGUAGCCAGCAAGUAGAGUUGGGCACUCUAGGGAGACUGCCAGAGAUAACCUGGAGGAAGGUGGGGAUGACGUCAAAUCAUCAUGCCCCUUAUGGUUUGGGCUACACACGUGCUACAAUGGCGUAAACAAAGAGAAGCAAGACCGCGAGGUGGAGCGAAUCUCAAAAAUAACGUCUCAGUUCGGAUUGCAGGCUGCAACUCGCCUGCAUGAAGCUGGAAUCGCUAGUAAUCGCGAAUCAGAAUGUCGCGGUGAAUACGUUCCCGGGUCUUGUACACACCG